CAUCUCCCUGAAUAACGCACUGAAGAUGGUGCUCUGCUUUCCUUACCAUCGUUCACCCGGCGCUUUCCCCAACAACGAAACGGGAAUCUUUCCCAGGAUUCCUGGACCAUGUGUUUCUGCUCACCGAUGCGCCCAGGCUUUCCCACCCUGGGAAGCAGACGAAAAUGCACCAAACAUGCGCUCCAAUCAAGGAAGACCAAUUAAUAAUAGUAAUGGAAACCAGUGAAGAUGAGAAGACAACGAGACACAUGUACGGUAAUUAAUUCAAAAUUUCAUCGCUUCAAUGUCAAGACUCAAAUGCAUGCACAUAUUUUUAAGAUGAAGAAGGUAACGGACAAUAGUUGCAGGUAUGAUGCGUCCAUAUUUAUCCUGUUUAUUUUGGUGGGAAACAUGAGUUUUCCGUCACGAAAGCCAAAAUCCCGAAGUCUGUUUGGGUAGCUGAUCACCAGUGCACGUGCAUCUGCUGCCGAUGGCUACGUCUUGUGCUCGUUCUCUGCCCCACCUAGAUCCUGACCAGUGGACCCCCGGCAGCUUGCGGGGUUCUCCCAGCCGCGGGCCGGUGGGUUUCCUUUGGCUCCAGGGUUCUGGCCACUGCGGUGUAUCUGACUGCCUGAGGAAUGUCACAGGUAGUGACUAAUGGGCUCGAUGCCCUGAAGAGGGACAAUGGAGC